UACAGAGGGGGCAAGCGUUAUUCGGAAUUAUUGGGCGUAAAGGGCGCGUAGGCGGCCUUGCAAGUGGCGGGUGAAAUCCCUCGGCUUAACCGAGGAACUGCCUGCCAGACUGCAAGGCUCGAGACCGGGAGAGGUGAGUGGAAUUCCCAGUGUAGCGGUGAAAUGCGUAGAUAUUGGGAGGAACACCAGUGGCGAAGGCGGCUCACUGGACCGGAACUGACGCUGAGGCGCGAAAGCGUGGGGAGCAAACAGG
rnacentral:rRNA from 1 species